UUUAUAACACAUUGCUGUUUUUCAUUGUACAAAACCAACAAACACAAAAAUGAAUUUCUUCAUCUUUAUUUGGAUUAUGGGAGCUUUUAUUCCAGAAUCCAGAGGAGUCACUGUAACUCAGACUGAAGUUGUAACUAUAACUGAAGGAAAAACAGCCACUAUAGAGUGUAAAACUGAUUCUGGAAUCAAUGGCUGGGGUUUAGCUUGGUAUCAGCAGAAACCUGGAGAAGCUCCAAAACUCAUCAUUUAUGGCGUAAACGAACAGUAUGAUGAUAGUUUUCAGCGAUUCAGUGGAAAUGGACAAAGAGGUGGAACUGAUUUCACUCUGACCAUCAGUGGAGUCCAGACUGAAGAUGCAGCACAUUAUUACUGUCAGAGUGUACACUACAUCAACAGUAAAGAUGUGUUCACACAGUGAUAAAGAGUCGUACAAAAACCUCUGUCAGUCACACUGCACUGAUACACUGACAGAUACUGCAGCUGCUCACACACACACACACACACACACACACACACACACACACACACACACACACA